ACUAAUAUCUUAGGGGGCAUUUGAUUGCCCUGAUAUGCCUAGAUAAGGCGUCGGAUAUAGGUGUUAUCUAGUUUUUGGUUGCCCUGAUAUACUUAUACGAUAACCCGGUAUACAAGCUCUGACCCGGUUUCAAUUAAGAUACAUCCCUCCCAAAUGCGUAUAACUCUACCCAGGCUGAAGCCUCCGAUAUGCGCUACCUCGGAGAACCAGAUUGCUGCUACCGCACUCCUUUGUCUAAAACACCCCUCGCCAUUGUCCUCAAUCUGGGACACGCAUAGUUUUUUACGAGCCUAGCUUGUCGUUUUGCUUAGCAACAAUUUUCUUUCGGCGCGAAUUUUUUCUGUUUAAGCACCGACCACCGUCGGCUGAAGGUCGGCUGAAGCAGUGUCGCCAAUCCCGAGUAGCUCCAUUCUUGUUGGGGAUUAUUGAAUCGGAGCCCGAUCUACAUGGCUAACCCAGAUGAAAUUCGUAAGCAUUUUUUCAGCACCAGUUACAUAUUUUUUCCGGAGCUUUGUGAACCAGGUAUCUGCGUCGCUUUUAUUUGCGUUAUUGAGGAAAUUAAGUUCGAAUCCAGUAUGCAAUCCUUGUGUUUCCUGGCCUUCAUGACUGAUAUUCGAUCAUUGUAUGUUAGCCUUAAAAGCAAAUGUUUGUUGUCUUUCUGAGCCUCAAAUUUAUGUUUGGAUUUAUCAGGGAUCUGGUCGACAGAAUGAAAUGACAACCAUUUUGAUUUUGUUAGAAGAGAUUAUACGAAACUAUCAAAUAAACUUGUUGCUCAUCUCCUUUAUGAUCACACUUCUUUGCCCGCAAACACGGAAACGUAAACGUUGGGACCGACUAGGAUAGUCCGAAGUUUUAGAUUCAAUACCUGCCCAUGUACGUCAAUUGGAUCAACCUGUGUGUGUUACAGAUAGGUUUUUGAAAUAGAUUUUACAGUUUGGUUGCUUUUAUGCUUUGUUUAGCUAGAUUGAAGCUUUGGGGCUUUUGCGUCUUAUCUCUCUUUUCUAAAAUUAAUGACCCAAAAAUAUGCUAUACAAUGAAUUUGAACUCAUAUUGUAGUUUUUUUUUAUUCAUAUGUUUUUUUUAUACACAUUCUACACCAUUGCUCUAAUAGUUGCUGGUGCUAGUAAUCCAUUGAUGAUAUGGGCUUGAUUAUGUAGCUUGUUGAUUCAAAUGCUGAAGUUUGUAUAGAUUUUAAGUCUUGCGACUCAGAGAAAGAGAGCUAGAAUCGCUGACAAGAAGAAGAGGAUUGUCAAGGCCAAGUCAUAAGCUGCUGAGUACCAGAAGCUUCUUGCAACUCGCAUGAAGGAACAGAGGGAUAGGAGCAGUGAGAGUUUGGCCAAGAAGAGUUCUAAACUUUCUACUGCAACAAAACCAUCAGCUGCUGCAUAAUCGACAUCUUCUGCGUUUAUGCUUCUGAAUCUGCUCAUGUCUUCUCAAAACUGAUUGAGUUUUAGAUAAUUUUGAAUCUUUUGCCAAAUGUUACAAAACCAUGAGUUUUGCCUAUUUUGUUUUGGAUAAAUUUGAGAUGAUACUAUUUUCUUUGAAUUCCAUGAGCAGCUUUUUUAUA